rnacentral:rRNA from 1 species
UUGUGAGGCAUCUCCGGGUAGGGCGCCGGCCUAAGUUCCUUGGAACAGGACGUCACAGAGGGUGAGAAUCCCGUGCUUGGCUGGCUGUCCCCGUCCAUGUGAGGUGUCUUCGACGAGUCGAGUUGUUUGGGAAUGCAGCUCAAAAUGGGUGGUAAAUUUCAUCUAAAGCUAAAUAUUGGUGGGAGACCGAUAGCGCACAAGUAGAGUGAUCGAAAGAUGAAAAGCACUUUGAAAAUAGAGUUAAAAAGUACGUGAAAUUGUUGAAAGGGAAGCGCUUGAGACCAGACUUCGGUAAGGGGUGAUCAGCCGUCCUUCUGGGCGGUGCACUUGCCCCCCUCCGGGCCAGCAUCGGUUGAGGCGGCGGGAUAAAGGUCCCGGGAAUGUGGCUCCUUCACGGGAGUGUUAUAGCCCGGGUGAAUGCCGCCAGCUUCGACCGAGGACCGCACCCGCAAGGGUUAGGAUGCUUGGCAUAAUGGUCUUCAGCGAC